rnacentral:rRNA from 1 species
CAGUCGAGCGAAUGGAUUAAGAGCUUGCUCUUAUGAAGUUAGCGGCGGACGGGUGAGUAACACGUGGGUAACCUGCCCAUAAGACUGGGAUAACUCCGGGAAACCGGGGCUAAUACCGGAUAACAUUUUGAACCGCAUGGUUCGAAAUUGAAAGGCGGCUUCGGCUGUCACUUAUGGAUGGACCCGCGUCGCAUUAGCUAGUUGGUGAGGUAACGGCUCACCAAGGCAACGAUGCGUAGCCGACCUGAGAGGGUGAUCGGCCACACUGGGACUGAGACACGGCCCAGACUCCUACGGGAGGCAGCAGUAGGGAAUCUUCCGCAAUGGACGAAAGUCUGACGGAGCAACGCCGCGUGAGUGAUGAAGGCUUUCGGGUCGUAAAACUCUGUUGUUAGGGAAGAACAAGUGCUAGUUGAAUAAGCUGGCACCUUGACGGUACCUAACCAGAAAGCCACGGCUAACUACGUGCCAGCAGCCGCGGUAAUACGUAGGUGGCAAGCGUUAUCCGGAAUUAUUGGGCGUAAAGCGCGCGCAGGUGGUUUCUUAAGUCUGAUGUGAAAGCCCACGGCUCAACCGUGGAGGGUCA